GCGAACGCUGGCGGCAGGCUUAACACAUGCAAGUCGAGCGGGCGUAGCAAUACGUCAGCGGCAGACGGGUGAGUAACGCGUGGGAACGUACCUUUGGUUCGGAACAACACAGGGAACUUGUGCUAAUACCGGAUAAGCCCUUACGGGGAAAGGAUUAUCGCCGAAGAUCGGCCCGCGUCUGAUUAGCUAGUUGGUGUGGUAACGGCGCACCAAGGCGACGAUCAGUAGCUGGCUGAGAGGAUGAUCAGCCACCAUUGGGACGUGAGACACGGCCCACGACUCCUACGGGAGGCAGCAGUGGGGAAGUCUUGCGCAAUGGGCGGAAAGACCUGACGCAGCCAUGCCGCGUGAAUGA
rnacentral:rRNA from 1 species